AGCUCAAACGUAUGACCUUCUGUGUUUACGACUCCGUUCGAGUAAGUAAAUUAUUCAAUGACUCAUUUAAAACACAAAAAGACUCGCUUGUUGCCUCCUACUGGUAAAAACCAUAGACAGUAAAACUGGUAACCCCCAGAAAGAGUCACUGAACGAGUCGGCGUACGAAUAAAUUGAUUCUUUUGUAGAGAUCAGAAUCAAAGAUUCGAGUCACUGAGACGAUUCUAAAUCUCCACGGCCGGUCAUGUGACUCAACAUGGCGUCAUCAUGAGAUAGAAUAAACCAUAGACAUAUACAUAUUUAUAUGUCUAUGGAAUAAACAACUUUGGGCUUCAGUUUUCACGCCUUCAUUACGGCUCUCAUAAAAACAGUUUUCCAACCACAAGAUGAAAGAUGAAAGACAGAGCAUUUGGAGAGACGUCUCGAUUUCACUCCUUCACACAUGAACAGCUGCAUCAAACUGCACCAGAUAUACACAGACUUGCUGUUCAUGAGUCUCCGUCUUGUUCUGCAGUUCUGGGAUAUAGUCCUGCAUCAUGUUCCUGGCAGUCUUUGAGUCCCCAGAGUGAUGGUGUGAACCGUAACAGAAAUAAGAUUUGCCAGGUUUCCAGGAUGGUCACUCAUUCUGCUGCAAAUGACUGCAGCACAAGUACCAGAUGCACUGUCCAUCACGGCUUGCCAUAAAAAUCUGCCAAAGAUGCUGCUUUGCAGGAAGUUACACAUUCCUUUACGGCACACACACAGGAGUCAGGCGGGAAAAUCCCUGGAGUGAUAGACGCACUGAGCCCUCACAUACUGCUACAGUUGCAAGUGUCUCUCUAACCUCUGUGCCAUCUGCACACCAUGUACGUUUGACCUCCGUUGAAAAGCUCCGGGUAAACAAGUCAUCGCAAGCGUCCCCCCUUCACUUCCAAACAGCUUGUGUCCCAUCAGUACGCAUGUUUUGCCAGGACGGAUGACAGGAAAACAGUUUCAGUUUGUGUUCAUAAUAAGAAACAGAGUACAUGUGACCAGGUGUGCGUUAAUGACAUGCAUUGCUGAUUCUUACAAUCACACAGAGAUCCCAGCAGGCAUGUGCCAAAACCGCUCCACCUCAUCUUAUCGGUUUACUUCACUUAGUGUAGUAUAUGGCUGUAAGAAUAUGAAUGCUUCUGGUCUUCACUUCCUCCUUGAGCCCAGCAGGCAACAGCCCAAACAAAGUGACAAUAAGCCAUCUGUUGUACAAGAGUCGACUGCUGCACAGUCUCCAGUGCCUCCGGAGCUCCUUACUGGGGGACAUUAGCAGGGUUAAACAGUCCUGGAAAGCACAGGCAUAUGCUGCUUCUGCUCAACUGUACAGUCAAUGAAAGCUUGCUUGAAAUCCUUUUCUGUAAUGAUGUUAUGCUUUUGGUAUCCAUUUUUAAGGAAAUCAUCAUGUGAUGAUUAGGUUGGAAACAUGCAAUUUGAUUAAUAAAUGUCAAAGCGUAUGUUUCGGUAAUUGUUUUGUAGGAACCCUCAUCAAGUUUUUUCAUCUGUGUGACAGUUAUCAGCCUUUUUUCCCCUUUUUAUGUCACCAAUCACCUUUAGCUAGAGCGUAUUGAAAAAAGCCAUUGAUCUUUAAAAUGCAGUGCUUUAAUAUGACAGUAACAGUAGUACGUGAUGCAGGAAGUCAAAUUGUGGAGAUUGAUGAGGGUUUAUAGGUGAAUUAUAAUCCAUCUACCUGAGUGAUGUCUGUGCUGUUUUCCAUACCAGCAGGCCAACAAAUACAUAAAACCCACAAAGGUGACACUAGGAAUUGAUACUUAACAAUCCCUCUGAGCAACAAGCACUAGAAGCAGCUCUGACUGAGAGGAAAACUCCCCGGGAGAGACAGAGAGUGAGAGAGAAAUGGCAAAGCUGGGAAGGUUAAUGGGAAAGAAUGGACUGGAUUUGCCAAAGGUCACACAUACAGAGUCAGCACCUUGUUUAUGAUUAGAAGAGGUCUGAGCACAGCUUGUGUUUGAGCCACUUAAUAAAGCACUUUAAAUGACUAUUGAUUCAUGCUUCAGAAAGACAACUGUGAAUCUACUAUGAGGUUGUUACCUUUGUUUGCUUAAGAUCCAGCGUAUUUAAUCCUUAAUGAGAGGCUGUAAGGUAAAGUGUGGUCGCAGAGGUUGAUCCUUUCCUUUUUAAUUGGCCUGAGGAUCUAUAUUUCAUCAUAAUAAAUAAUGUUGUAUCUUCUAAUUUCUAAAAUUGUAGUCGGCCAUGAGAUGUUUGAAGACAAAUUGUGAAUUUUAAUGGCCGGUGGACCAUCUCUUAUGCAAAUUGACUGUAGAAUUAAUUGAUUCGAUCCAAUUUCCAGAUCCUUAACUAGAUUGUGGGAUUACUAACUAAAUCUAGAAAGUGAUGUAUGUAUGGUGUCCUGUGGGCAGUGUGGUGCGAGGCCUUAACUGGCCGUUCUGCCAAUUUUUCAAAAAUUCCCAAGAUGAACUUAUUUGUAGCGUAGGACGUAAUCUCAUUCUCUGCGCUGAAACGGGAUGUGAAGAUGGUGAGCAACUGAUGAGAGUCUGUUAGUGCACUCAGUCUAGGUUAGUACUUUGGAUCAAUGCGUGACCCUAUUGGAUAAAAAUUGGGAAUUUGGCAGAACUGACCUUUAGAUGAAAAUAAAUGGAAUUAGAGCAAAUAAAAAGAAAGCAAUAUCCAGUUAGACUAGUAAAAUUACAAAGUGUAUGAGUAUAAUUACUUGAUGUAAGUAAUGAGGUUGCAUAGUGUAAUGAUGAUUUCCUCAUGAGGAUAUUGAUGCUGAUAGGUUGCUGUGGAGAAAGUGUGGCAUGGUGUGCUUUUGUUCAAGUGUGCAUGUUUUGUGCACUCUAGCAUUCAUAAAAAUGACAUGCUACCCUCUGUAUUCUUUUAUAUUUAUCAGUGAAACCCAGAUCUACGUAUUUUGGCUGAUUCAGCAAUAUACAUUAAUAUAGAAACAUGUUUUUAUCUUAUAUGUAUUGUGAACUUUUUGCACUAUUAAUAUUCAAGUUGGAUGAAUGAUAUAUUAGUGCUAUGUCAUUGGUUAUGGACCGCAAUUGUGAAUUUAUUAGAAUUAGUAAUGGAUAUGUAUCCUCUGAUAUUGGAUAUUUAAGUGCAUUCUUGUUUUUGUGCAUGCAAAUUUUUACAUUUAGAUUACCUUUGCCACCCUUCAUAUAAUCUUUAAUAACACUAUUAAUUUAAUAACUGUCAAAUAAUUUUUUUAAAGAAUAUUAAAAUUAAUAUACGACUUUCUUACAAACCUAAUUCCAGAAAAGUUAGGAUUUUUCGUGAAAUGCCGUAAAAUCAAGAAUGUUAUUUGUUCAUUCUCUUUAACCUUUAUUUAAUUGAUGAAAUUACAAAGAAAUAAUUCCCAAUUUUCUCACUGGACAACUUCAUUUUAUUUUGUAAAUAUGAACAGAUUUUAAUGGCUGCAACACACUCUAAAAAAGCUGGGAUAGAGGCAUGUUUAACACUGUGUCACAUCAGCUUUAAUAUAAUUUUUUUAUUAAAAUGUUUAUGUCACAUGUAUGAUCUGUUUUAGUUUAGUUUUCUGUGUCCCCAUUACCCUGCCUAGUUAGUUUCCAUGGGUUUUUAUUAAUUAGCUCCAUGCCUGUUUCUGUCCUUCUUAAUUACAUUCCCAGUAUUUACAGUUUUUUUCAGUCGCUAACAAGCAUUUGUCCAAGCAGUUGUCACAUUUUCAAAA